rnacentral:rRNA from 1 species
UACGUAGGGUGCAAGCGUUAAUCGGAAUUACUGGGCGUAAAGCGUGCGUAGACGGUUACGUAAGUCGGAUGUGAAAGCCCCGGGCUCAACCUGGGAAUUGCAUUCGAGACUGCGUAGCUAGGAUGCGGAAGAGGGAAGCGGAAUUUCCGGUGUAGCGGUGAAAUGCGUAGAUAUCGGAAGGAACACCAGUGGCGAAAGCGGCUUCCUGGUCCAGCAUCGACGUUCAGGCACGAAAGCGUGGGGAGCAAACAGG